rnacentral:rRNA from 1 species
UACGUAGGGGGCUAGCGUUGUCCGGAAUCAUUGGGCGUAAAGAGCGUGUAGGCGGCCCGGUAAGUCCGCUGUGAAAGUCGGGGGCUCAACCCUCGAAUGCCGGUGGAUACUGUCGGGCUAGAGUGCGGAAGAGGCGAGUGGAAUUCCUGGUGUAGCGGUGAAAUGCGCAGAUAUCAGGAGGAACACCAAUUGCGAAGGCAGCUCGCUGGGACGUAACUGACGCUGAGGCGCGAAAGCUAGGGGAGCAAACGGG